rnacentral:lncRNA from 1 species
GGAUCCGCGUUGUUAGCUGUGGAGACGCUCACGGAGAAUCCUAACGUGAAGCGUGGUGAUAACAAGUGGGUGGAUAAGAUCUACGAGCUCAUGGACGCCGUUGAUAGCUACAUCCCUAUCCCUCAGAGACAGACUGAGUUGCCUUUCUUGUUAGCUGUUGAAGAUGUGUUUUCCAUCACCGGACGUGGGACUGUAGCCACGGGGAGGGUUGAGAGAGGGACGGUUAAGGUUGGAGAGACUGUUGAUUUAGUUGGUUUGAGAGAGACUAGGAACUAUACCGUUACUGGUGUUGAGAUGUUUCAGAAGAUUCUGGAUGAGGCCUUAGCUGGUGACAAUGUGGGGUUGUUGCUUAGGGGUAUUCAGAAGGCUGAUAUUCAGAGGGGGAUGGUGUUGGCUAAGCCUGGGAGUAUUACUCCGCAUACUAAGUUUGAGGCGAUUGUGUAUGUGUUGAAGAAGGAAGAAGGUGGGAGGCAUUCUCCGUUUUUCGCUGGGUAUAGGCCUCAGUUUUACAUGAGGACGACUGAUGUCACGGGGAAAGUGACCAAGAUUAUGAAUGAUAAAGAUGAAGAGUCGAAGAUGGUUAUGCCUGGGGAUAGGGUGAAG